rnacentral:rRNA from 1 species
UACGUAGGAGGCAAGCGUUGUCCGGAAUUACUGGGCGUAAAGCGCGUGUAGGUGGUGGGACAAGUCUGCUGUGAAAGCGCCUGGCUUAACCGGGCGAGGUCGGCGGAAACUGUCGCACUCGAGGACGGUAGAGGGGUGGAAUUCCCGGUGUAGGUGGUGAAAUGCGUAGAGAUCGGGAGGAACACCUGUGGCGAAGGCGGCCCCCUGGGCCGGCCCGCUGACACUGAGACGCGAAAGGCGUGGGGAGCGAACGGGG